CAGUUCGGAUUGUAGUCAGCAACUCGACUACAUGAAGCUGGAAUCGCUAGUAAUCGCAGAUCAGAAUGCUGCGGUGAAUACGUUCCCGGGUCUUGUACACACCGCCCGUCACACCAUGGGAGUUGGGAAUGCCCGAAGUCAGUGACCCAACCGUAAGGAGGGAGCUGCCGAAGGCAGAUUUGAUAACUGGGGUGAAGUCGUAACAAGGUAAC
rnacentral:rRNA from 1 species